AGCCCAGCGGAGCGAGUGAAAGCUGCUGGAAGCCGACAGCAGCGGUUGGGCUGGAAGCUGAGGCGCCCGGUUCUGGGUGAACUGAGCGACAAAUUCUAGCGACAAACUAACAAAUCCGAAAGCAUUUUUCAAGUUCUUAAACCAACUAACGUGUUUCCGGGCUUGUUUUAACGCGAGUGACACGGGCAUUGUUGCCAGGGGGAGAUUUCUAUGGGGUACUUACUAACAGCGAAUGUUUCCGAGAGUGAAUGGGUAAAGCAGAAUUGGAAACUGCAAAGUUCAUCCAUUCAUAGAGGCAAUUCCCUUAUUAAUAAAAACCAGCAGCUGCAAAGCUGUCCCAGCAGAAUAGCGGCGGUGGGAGGGACGAGCCCACACCAAACCCGGAGAUGGAGAGAGGGGGGGGGAAUGGGGGCUCCCCCCCAAGUGCGGGGCGCGGAGAGGAAAUCAGGUGGUGGCGAUGGGAGUUCGUUCCCUCCUCUUCCCAUCCUCCGCCUAUUAAAACAACUCAAGUCUCACUUGUUAAAAGACCCCAUAACGUGGAGAAGGCAGAAAAGCAGCAGCAGCAGCAGGAAAGGAACAGACGUCUGGAAAAUAUUACCCGUUUGCUGCUGCUGCUGCUGAGAACUAAAGCAGCUACGCGGUCCGCGAGGCAUCACCAAAGAGCCUUUAUCUGAUGCUGCACAUCCCAAACUUUCAGCCGCUGCCGUGCAACUCCUCCAGGCUCCUGCCCAGCCGGGUUUGAAACGAGGUCUUCAGCUUCGACCACGAGAAACUUAACUCCUAAUUUAUUAUUUCUAACUUUUUUUUUUUUAAUUAUUAUUAUUAUUUGAAAAAAAAAAAAAAUAUAAAAAUCCCACGACUUCGAGCUAGAAACUGAAGACAAAUACAUUGUAAUAGGGAAAACACGUGGGAGAAAAUGAAUAGGACUGAAUAGCCUUAAGCGAUUUUUUUUUAUUAUUUUCAUUUUUUUAAUUAUUUUUUUUAUUCCUGAGCUUCUGAAUAAGUCCCUGAAAAAGUGCGAUUUGAUCUUUUACCUCAAACUUGGAAACUGUUCAGCGGGAGCAACGGUACGUGAGACCACACAGCUGGCUGGAGCCCCUCUAUGACCAAAGGACAGCCGGACAAACAAGGUAGGGGACUGACCAUCACCCUUCUGGCAUCCCCAGAGCAGAAGCCGCUCUCCUCUUAGCCCACUAUUCCAGGGAGGAAGGCGGAAAAGAGGUCCCCAGACACGAGUGGGGUCGGGGGAGGAUCUUACCGUCUCUAUGCUACACCUAUUCCAGCCAUGAAUAGGACUGCAGUGAGGAUGAAUGAGGUUUUCAGCUUCAACCCCUCCCUCCGUGUAAUCCGUUUAGGAUACAGUUGAGCAAUACGGUUUGGAAGGGAAAACAAAGAAAAAAGUUAAAUUAAUAGCGGUUAAAUCGAUCGAGCAACAGGUUCGGAAGGCAUUCGCCGUGGGGGGGGGGGGGGGGGGCAGAGCCGCCCCCGGCUCCGACCGCCUUCUCCCCUCGCACGCAGCGCCGGGAGGGGACGUGAC
rnacentral:lncRNA from 1 species